rnacentral:tRNA from 17 species
GGAAGUGGAUGGGGUCUGGUGGCCCUCCCGGUCUUCAAAACCGACGUGAGCUGAAUAGGCUUUGGCAGGUUCGAUUCCUGCUCCUUCC